rnacentral:misc_RNA from 1 species
GAUGAAGAACGUAGCGAAAUGCGAUAAGUAAUGUGAAUUGCAGAAUUCAGUGAAUCAUCGAAUCUUUGAACGCACAUUGCGCCCGCCAGCACUCUGGCGGGCAUGCCUGUCCGAGCGUCAUUUCAACCCUCAAGCACAGCUUGGUGUUGGGACUCGCGUUAAUUCGCGUUCCCCAAAUUGAUUGGCGGUCACGUCGAGCUUCCAUAGCGUAGUAGUAAAACCCUCGUUACUGGUAAUCGUCGCGGCCACGCCGUUAAACCCCAACUUCUGAAUGUUGACCUCGGAUCAGGUAGGAAUACCCGCUGAACUUAAGCAUAUCAAUAAGCGGAGGA